rnacentral:lncRNA from 1 species
AGAGCCGGAAUGGUGGAAGUGGGGAGGUCAGUCACCCAUUCUUGGAAGCAUAAAAGCAAAGCAAAGCAAAGCAAUUUAAACGAAGUUCAUCGUGUCGUCAUUGGACCUUUGGGAUCCUUCUGUUUUUUCACAUAUUUCUCCCCCCAAAAAAUAAAAAUAAAAAAAAAGAAAAAGAAAGAAGAAGAAGAAGGAAUCUCGAAUGUAUUUGCAUAUACUACCCAGAUGCCCAGCCAUUUGUUAAUGUACUUUUUAUCAAAUGUGAAAGUGCGUAUGAAGUAAUAAGUGAUGUUUGAAAUUUUUUAACCAUGUUGCAAAUUGUACGACCAAAAAGGGAUGCCGUUUCACCACUUCUUCUAACAAAAUAAGUAAACAGCAAAAUAAGUAACUCAGUCAAAUUUUUUUCCAACUAUUUGAGAUCGGUUAAAUAGAAAGAUUUACUUGGCAAAAUAAAAAUAACACAAGUCUAAAACUUGCAUGAGGG